UAUGAGGUGCAUACUAUUAAUUUCUCUUGAUGUGGUUUCUUCUGCUUCAGUAUAAACAAAAUUUUGAAUUGUAUAUAUUUUCUACAGUAUAUGGGAGAGCUAGGGUGCCAUUUUGAAGUUUACCGCAAUGAUGAACUUACAGUUGAGGAGCUGAAAAGGUAAGAGGAAAAUACAUUCUGUGUAAAACGUAAUAUG